GACGUAGGGUCCGAGCGUUGUCCGGAGUUACUGGGCGUAAAGGGCGCGUAGGCGGCUUUGUGCGUCACCCGUGAAAGCCCCCGGCUCAACCGGGGAGGGUCGGGUGAAACGGCGGAGCUGGAGGCAGCGAGAGGCUGGUGGAAUUCCCGGAGUAGUGGUGAAAUGCGUAGAGAUCGGGAGGAACACCGGCGGCGAAGGCGGCCAGCUGGCGCUGACCUGACGCUGAGGCGCGAAGGCGUGGGGAGCGAACGGG
rnacentral:rRNA from 1 species